rnacentral:misc_RNA from 1 species
ACCUCUCAACCCCGCCAAAGGCUUUAUUGACUUUGGUUGUUUGGGCUUUGGAUCAUGAUCGUUUGUUGGCCGCAAGGUCUUAACUCGAUUGAAAUACAACAAGUUGAUACAUUUUUGAACGGCUUGACCUGAUGUUGUAAUCUACUCAUCGGGGACGUUUAAUCUGAAACGACUUUAACAGAAACCCCUUACGUUUGUCCCGUCGAAAGGCUUCGGUCUUAGACAAUUCAAACACU